UACGGAGGGUGCAAGCGUUAUCCGGAAUCACUGGGUUUAAAGGGUGCGUAGGCGGCCUUGUAAGUCAGAGGUGAAAUCUUCCCGCUUAACGGGAGAACUGCCUUUGAUACUGCAAAGCUUGAAUGAGCACGAGGCAGGCGGAAUGUGGCAUGUAGCGGUGAAAUGCUUAGAUAUGCCAUAGAACACCGAUUGCGAAGCAGCCUGCCA
rnacentral:rRNA from 1 species